CGCUGCGCCCGCCCCUUCCGCCCAGGGCCCGUCCUUUCCCGGUCAUCCCAGCCCCUUCCCGGCCAGGCUCCGCCCUCCACCCCGCCCCACGCCAGCCCGUCACUCAGCAGUCACUCGGUCACUUGGGGAAAAGCGGGCGCCAAGGGCAGAGUGGGCUGGGUUGCCGCCAGUUGCCCUGUCCCAGUGUCCCCCGCCCCCGACUGUCCCAGCCCACGCCCUGAACCCUCCGGAUGACGCUCGCCCAGCUCUUGGCGGCCAUUGGGACCCCUACUCCACUUCUCUGCACAUCUCGCGAGCCUCGGAUGGCGCCCGAGAGCCCAGGACCGGCCACGCGCGGACCUGCGCCGCCACCUGGUGGCCGCCGGCGCAAACGGCACCCAGGAUGCUCAGAAGAACAUUCGCACGACUGGAGCCAGGGAGAUGCAGAUGCAGCACCAAGUCCCAGAGGGAACACUAUGGGCCAAACGGCAGUGUGCAUGGCAGGAUGGUGUACAUGGCUCAACCCAAGGCCUCUCAGGAAUACGUCAAAAAGCCCCAAGAGAAGUUUACAGCAAUCUGAAGUAAAUGAAAAUGAAAACACAACUUACAAAAUUCAUGGAAUGCCAAGGAAACAGUGCCAAGAGGGAAAUCUGUAGCAUUAGAUGCACACGGUGUAAGUGAAAAGACCUGAAUUAGUAAUCUGGAUGUCUACUUUUGGAAACUACAGAAAAGUAAAGCAAUGAAAGUACUAAAGCAAGCAGAAGAAAUAACAAAAACUAGGGGAAAAUCAAUAAAACUAAAACCUUGUUCUUUGAAAAAACUUUUUCAAUGAAUUGAUAAACCACUGGCCAGGCUUAUCACAAACGGAAAGCAGACAUUACUCAGUAAGAGGAGCCCUCGCUGCUUACCCCAAGGGCAUGAAAGGGAUGAUAAAAGAAUAUUACGAACAAUUACAGGUCCACACAUUUGAUAACUUACAUGAAACGGACUGAUUUAUUGAAAGACACAAACUAUCCAACUCAUACAAGGAGAAACAAACUGACCAAGCCUAUAUCUAAUUAGAUUUAAAUAAUUAAUUAAUUUUCCAUGUUGAACCUGGGGCCUUGCACAUGCUAGGCAAGCACUGUACCACUGAGCUACACCACCAGCGCUCCACUGGUAAAUUCUACCAAACACUUAAGGAAUAUACCAAUUCUCUAUAAUUUCUUCCAGAAAAUAGCAAAGAGAACACUUUUUAAUUCAUUCAGAGGCAGUAUUCCCCUGAUAAAACCAAAACCAGAUAAAGACACAAGAAAAAAAAGGGGAAACUACAGACCAAUAUCUCUCAUGAAUGUAGAUGCAAAACUCCUCAACAAAAUAUUAGCAAAUCAAUUAUAGCAGUGUAUAAGAAUUCUACAUCACAGCCAAGUGAGGUUUAUUCCAGGGAUAUAAGGCUGGUUCAGCAUUGGAAAGCUAUUAAUGUAAUGUCGUCCAUCUCAUCAUCAACAGGUUAAGAAUGAAAAAACCACAUAAACUUAUCAUUUGUUGCAGGAGAAACAUUUGACAAAAUCCAAUACCCAUUCGUGAUUAAAACUCAAAACCUGGGAAUGAAGGAGAAUUUCCUUAACUUGAUAAAGAUCAUCAAAAAUGCUCAGCUAACAUCAGACAAUGGGGAGAGACUAGAUAUCUUCCUCCGCAAUCAGGAGCAAGACACUCUUCUCUCCCUACUCCUCCUCAGUAUUGUACUAGAAAUCCAGGCUAACAAAAUAAGACAAGAAGAAUAAAAUAUGUGCAAUUGGGAAGAAAAAAAUAGAAUUGUCUUAUUUGUAGAUGGCGUGACUAUGUAGGAAACCCCAAAGAAUUAACAAUAAAAGUCCUGGAACUAAUCGAGAAUUAUGGCAACAGUCCAGGAUACACGGUUAAUUUAUGAUAGUCACUUGCUUCCUAUUUACUAGGAAUAGACAAGGGUAAAUUAACAUUUAAUACACAAUACCACUUACAUUAGCACCACAAGAAAUGAAAUACUUAGGUAUAAAUCUACAAAUAUGUACAGGAUCUACAUGAGAACAACUACAAACCUCUGAUGAAAUAAAUCAAAGAUAUAAAUAAGUGGAGAGAUAGUCCAUUUUUAUCAGUAGGAACACAAUAUUGUCACAAUAUCAGUUCUCCCCAACUUGAUCUGUAGAUUCAAUACAGUCCCAGUCAAAAUCUAGCAAAUUACUUGUGGAUAUUGACAAACUGAUUCCAAAGUACAUGAGAAAAAUCAAACGCCCAGAAUACCCAGUUGCUGCAGCCGUAGCAACUCUGGCGCUGGCAGAGGACAGACCAACAGGCCAAGAGAACAGGACCAAGAACCCAAAACCAACCCAUGCAAGCACCACCAACUGCCUUUGACAAAGGAGCACAGGCCAGCUAUGGCAUGUCCAGACAUAACUCCAUCUUUGCCUCCACUCACGGCUAAAACCUCAAUGGUCCAGUGAUGCUGUGAUGCUCCAGGACAAGAUUACACCAGCUGAAGACAUCCUGGGAGGAACAAAAUCUUCAUCUGCAUAGUUCCUCAUUGUUCUAGGAUUUUCACCACCGUUGCUGCUGUUGGCCUCUGAAUCACCUUUUGCAUUUGUUUCUCCCGACGUACUGAAUAAAGGUGUGGCAAGCUGAGGGUCUUUUGUCUUUGCACCCAGAGCAGCACUGAUCAGGCCCAAAGCUCAGCUUCUUCUCUGUCUUAUUUCUUCUAUUUUUUCUGUCUAUAUAUUAAUUAAUUUGCCUUGUGCUGUCAUGCCUCACAGGAGACUAGGACUUAAUGCAGAGGUUCUAGUAACAUCCCUUUACCCUGUUUCCCUACAGUGGUGGCUGAGACUUGCUACCAUCUGAUCCUAUUUCCCCACAAACUGGUCCUGGUAAAGGCAGGUAGAUUGGGGCAUAAAGUGGGAGAAUGUCUGUCUCCUCUGGCAGCUUUCAUAGGGUUGGCUUUCUUGGUUCUCUUUAUUGCCCGCCCCCCCCCCGCUCAGGCCACAAAUGUCUUAUAAUAAAGCCUCCAAACGGGGCUGUAGCCAAGCGGGUCAAGUCUGGACUAUAUUUAACCAGGAGUCAAUGUAGGGAAACUGAUCCAGGUGCCCUGGCCAUUCUCUAUCUCUGGUUAACACUCUGUGUACAUCACCAAUCAUUCCCCUGUCAGUUGUCCCUCGGCCAACCACCCAACAUCAAAAGAGGGCCAAUUUAUUUCCCAAAGAGUUCUCAACCUUUGAGGGGUCACCUUUACUCCACAGUCCCCUAUAUGGUUUUUUUUCUUUUUUUUUGGUACCGGGGAUUGAACUCCAGUCCUUGCGCUUGCGG
ensembl:lncRNA